rnacentral:rRNA from 1 species
GACGAACGCUGGCGGCGUGCUUAACACAUGCAAGUCGAACGGAAAGGCCCUGCUUUUGUGGGGUGCUCGAGUGGCGAACGGGUGAGUAACACGUGAGUAACCUGCCCUUGACUUUGGGAUAACUUCAGGAAACUGGGGCUAAUACCGGAUAGGAGCUCCCGCUGUAUGGUGGGGGUUGGAAAGUUUCGGCGGUUGGGGAUGGACUCGCGGCUUAUCAGCUUGUUGGUGGGGUAGUGGCUUACCAAGGCUUUGACGGGUAGCCGGACUGAGAGGGUGACCGGCCACAUUGGGACUGGGAUACGGCCCAGACUCCUACGGGAGGCAGCAGUGGGGAAUAUUGCACGAUGGGCGGAAGCCUGAUGCAGCAACGCCGCGUGCGGGAUGACGGCCUUCGGGUUGGAAACCGCUUUCGCCUGUGACGAAGCGUGAGUGACGGUAAUGGGUAAAGAAGCACCGGCUAACUACGUG